CGGGGCGUAGCGCAGCGGUAGCGCACCUGGUUUGGGACCAGGGGGUCGCAGGUUCGAAUCCCGCCGCCCCGACCA
rnacentral:tRNA from 1 species